CUCCUCCUUCCUGUUGAGCUGCUCCGCCCCCAGACUGAUGCAGACUCCAUCCUGUUUCUCCUCCAGGUGGUGGAGCUUGGGGUCAUGCAGCUGCACCCUCCGUUUGAGAUGUUGUCUCCUCCAAUGGGACUCCUGAAGCAAAGCUUCACUUCGGCAAGAGACAGAGAGAGUGCUGGAAACUACGAAUCAGCCGAGAAGGAGGCACGAUGAGGGCUAACGCAAGAGAGGACCAGACAGUGAGGGAGGACGAUGAAGGAAAAGGGGUUCGUGGGCGGAUGUGAGAGCGAGCGGCGAUGGAGGGGAGACCGGGGGAACGAGAGACGUGGGGUUGAACCGGCGAGGAGGAGAGAGGACACUGAAACGUCAGGAGAGUUGCUGAGCGCACUUGCAUAUUUCAUCUCAGUUGAGCCAAAGAGCAGAAGCUGUGAGAGCGAAUAAUGAAACAGGGGAAGCCUGAGUGAGGGAACAGCUUUGCACUGACUAAUACUCGUUACUAUAGCAGCGAUUUAGCAUCAGGGUUGGAGAGUGGUUACAUAAGAGUGGCCAGCAGCAUCCUUCAUUAAAUUUGCACUCUCGCAUCUUGAGUCCCGAUCAGCUCAUCAAGACUCUGCUUACCUUGGAGAUGGAGGCUGGGGAGGCUUUUUUAGCCUUCUGCACACUUUGAUGUCAUCGUGCAGGUCUAAU